ACGAACGCUGGCGGCACGCUUAACACAUGCAAGUCGAACGAGAGAAGAGAAGCUUGCUUUUCUGAUCUAGUGGCGGACGGGUGAGUAACACGUGAGCAAUCUGCCUUUCAGAGGGGGAUACCGAUUGGAAACGAUCGUUAAUACCGCAUAAUAUAAUUGAACCGCAUGAUUUGAUUAUCAAAGAUUUAUCGCUGAAAGAUGAGCUCGCGUCUGAUUAGCUAGUUGGUAAGGUAACGGCUUACCAAGGCGACGAUCAGUAGCCGGACUGAGAGGUUGAUCGGCCACAUUGGGACUGAGACACGGCCCAGACUCCUACGGGAGGCAGCAGUGGGGAAUAUUGCACAAUGGAGGAAACUCUGAUGCAGCGAUGCCGCGUGAGGGAAGAAGGUUUUAGGAUUGUAAACCUCUGUCUUCAGGGACGAAAAAUGACGGUACCAGAGGAGGAAGCACCGGCUAACUACGUGCCAGCAGACGCGGUAAUACGUAGGGAGCGAGCGUUGUCCGGAAUUACUGGGUGUAAAGGGAGCGUAGGCGGGAUCGCAAGUCAGAUGUGAAAACUAUGGGCUUAACCCAUAAACUGCAUUUGAAACUGUGGUUCUUGAGUGAAGUAGAGGUAAGCGGAAUUCCUAGUGUAGCGGUGAAAUGCGUAGAUAUUAGGAGGAACAUCAGUGGCGAAGGCGGCUUACUGGGCUUUAACUGACGCUGAGGCUCGAAAGCGUGGGGAGCAAACAGGAUUAGAUACCCUGGUAGUCCACGCCGUAAACGAUGAUUACUGGGUGUGGGGGGACUGACCCCUUCCGUGCCGCCGCAAACGCAAUAAGUAAUCCACCUGGGGAGUACGACCGCAAGGUUGAAACUCAAAGGAAUUGACGGGGGCCCGCACAAGCAGUGGAGUAUGUGGUUUAAUUCGAAGCAACGCGAAGAACCUUACCAGGUCUUGACAUCGUAUGCAUAGCUCAGAGAUGAGUGAAAUCUCUUCGGAGACAUAUAGACAGGUGGUGCAUGGUUGUCGUCAGCUCGUGUCGUGAGAUGUUGGGUUAAGUCCCGCAACGAGCGCAACCCUUACUGUUAGUUGCUACGCAAGAGCACUCUAGCAGGACUGCCGUUGACAAAACGGAGGAAGGUGGGGAUGACGUCAAAUCAUCAUGCCCCUUAUGACCUGGGCCUCACACGUACUACAAUGGCUGUCAACAGAGGGAAGCAAAGCCGCGAGGUGGAGCAAACCCCUAAAAGCAGUCUUAGUUCGGAUUGUAGGCUGCAACCCGCCUACAUGAAGUCGGAAUUGCUAGUAAUCGCAGAUCAGCAUGCUGCGGUGAAUACGUUCCCGGGCCUUGUACACACCGCCCGUCACGCCAUGGGAGUCGGUAACACCCGAAGCCUGUAGUCUAACCGCAAGGAGGACGCAGUCGAAGGUGGGAUUGAUGACUGGGGUG
rnacentral:rRNA from 1 species